rnacentral:rRNA from 1 species
AGCGAACGCUGGCGGCGUGCCUAACACAUGCAAGUCGAGCGAGAAAGGGGUGGCAACACCCUGAGUAAAGCGGCGAACGGGUGAGUAACGCGUGGGCAAUCUACCUUCCAGUCUGGGAUAACCUUCCGAAAGGAGGGCUAAUACCGGAUGAUGUCCUGUUGGGGCAUCCUGAGGGGAGCAAAGGGGGCGACCCGCAAGGGGCUCUCGCUGGAGGAGGAGCCUGCGUCCGAUUAGCAGUUGGUGGGGUAACGGCUCACCAAGGCGACGAUCGGUAGCCGGCCUGAGAGGGUGACCGGCCACACUGGGACUGAGAUACGGUCCAGACUCCUACGGGAGGCAGCAGUGAGGAAUAUUGGUCAAUGGCCGAAAGGCUGAACCAGCAACGCCGCGUGAGGGAUGAAGGUCUAAGGAUUGUAAACCUCUGUUAGGAGGGACGAA